AAGUCGUAACAAGGUUUCCGUAGGUGAACCUGCGGAAGGAUCAUUACCUAGAGUUUGCGGGCUUUGCCUGCUAUCUCUUACCCAUGUCUUUUGAGUACUUACGUUUCCUCGGUGGGUUCGCCCGCCGAUUGGACAAUUUAAACCCUUUGCAGUUGCAAUCAGCGUCUGAAAAAAAUUAAUAAUUACAACUUUCAACAACGGAUCUCUUGGUUCUGGCAUCGAUGAAGAACGCAGCGAAAUGCGAUAAGUAGUGUGAAUUGCAGAAUUCAGUGAAUCAUCGAAUCUUUGAACGCACAUUGCGCCCCUUGGUAUUCCAUGGGGCAUGCCUGUUCGAGCGUCAUUUGUACCUUCAAGCUCUGCUUGGUGUUGGGUGUUUGUCUCGCCUUUGCGUGUAGACUCGCCUCAAAACAAUUGGCAGCCGGCGUAUUGAUUUCGGAGCGCAGUACAUCUCGCGCUUUGCACUCAUAACGACGACGUCCAAAAGUACAUUUUUACACUCUUGACCUCGGAUCAGGUAGGGAUACCCGCUGAACUUAA
rnacentral:ncRNA from 4 species